GACGAACCACACAAACGUUAUUCGGAAUUACUGGGCUUAAAGGGUGCGUAGGCUGCGCAGAAAGUUGGGUGUGAAAUCCCCCGGCUCAACCGGGGAAGCGGCGCCCGAUACGACCGGCCUGGAGGGACGUAGGGGGGCUGGAACUUCCGGUGGAGCGGUGAAAUGCGUUGAGAUCGGAAGGAACGCCCGUGGCGAAAGCGAGCCCCUGGACGUCUACUGACGCUGACGACGCGGAAAGCCAGGGGAGCGAACGGG
rnacentral:rRNA from 1 species